UGAGGAAUAUUGGUCAAUGGGCGAGAGCCUGAACCAGCCAAGUAGCGUGAAGGAUGACUGCCCUAUGGGUUGUAAACUUCUUUUAUAAAGGAAUAAAGUCGGGUAUGGAUACCCGUUUGCAUGUACUUUAUGAAUAAGGAUCGGCUAACUCCGUGCCAGCAGCCGCGGUAAUACGGAGGAUCCGAGCGUUAUCCGGAUUUAUUGGGUUUAAAGGGAGCGUAGAUGGAUAUUUAAGUCAGUUGUGAAAGUUUGCGGCUCAACCGUAAAAUUGCAGUUGAUACUGGAUAUCUUGAGUGCAGUUGAGGCAGGCGGAAUUCGUGGUGUAGCGGUGAAAUGCUUAGAUAUCACGAAGAACUCCGAUUGCGAAAGGCAGCCUGCUAAGCUGCAACUGACAUUGAGGCUCGAAAGUGUGUGUAUCAAACAGGAUUAGAUACCCUGGUAGUCCACACGGUAAACGAUGAAUACUCGCUGUUUGCGAUAUACUGCAAGCGGCCAAGCGAAAGCGUUAAGUAUUCCACCUGGGGAGUACGCCGGCAACGGUGAAACUCAAAGGAAUUGACGGGGGCCCGCACAAGCGGAGGAACAUGUGGUUUAAUUCGAUGAUACGCGAGGAACCUUACCCGGGCUUAAAUUGCAGAUGAAUUACGGUGAAAGCCGUAAGCCGCAAGGCAUCUGUGAAGGUGCUGCAUGGUUGUCGUCAGCUCGUGCCGUGAGGUGUCGGCUUAAGUGCCAUAACGAGCGCAACCCUUGUUGUCAGUUACUAACAGGUUUUGCUGAGGACUCUGACAAGACUGCCAUCGUAAGGUGUGAGGAAGGUGGGGAUGACGUCAAAUCAGCACGGCCCUUACGUCCGGGGCUACACACGUGUUACAAUGGGGGGUACAGAGGGCCGCUACCACGCGAGUGGAUGCCAAUCCCCAAAACCUCUCUCAGUUCGGACUGGAGUCUGCAACCCGACUCCACGAAGCUGGAUUCGCUAGUAAUCGCGCAUCAGCCACGGCGCGGUGAAUACGUUCCC
rnacentral:rRNA from 1 species